GGUAUUACCAGCAAAUAUAGAACAUGAUCAGGAGACAUCUUCACAAAUGCCAAAGUGCUUCAUUGUUGUAUGAAUUAUCAAGUAUCUAGUGCUAGAUGCUAAUAUCUUAGUUAUGUCAGAUUGUUGAAGCUGCAUGUUGAAUUCUAAUCUUGAAGGCUUUAGAACCUGAGCCCUCCUUCCACCAACAAAUCCAUCUCACCAUUUAGCAUUCUUGCCAGACAUUGCAUCAAGCCUUGUGUCACCCCAUUUGCACACGAGCCAUGUCCACUAGUGCAGGGUGACAGUUGCAUUGCCUUAGCAUCGAAAAUGGUAAGAAGGCAAGCUUUAUUUCUAGGUGACUCGGAGCUACAGCAACUGCUUCACAUCUUCAAGUACUUGUUGAAUAUUGAGUUGCAAAUUUUACUUUUGAAAAUGAUGCUGAAUGAGAUUAACUUUACUUAUGAACUUUCUUGUUGGUCAUGUUA